rnacentral:lncRNA from 1 species
GCCGAUUUGGGUCGUAUCGAUGGCGGUGGAGUUUCACAUAUAACAAAUUAGGUCGAUAAUGUAGAGGUGGAGGUGGUCAUGGCAUUUGUUGAUUGUAGAUGUUUGGUCUAGGUGCAAGUGGUGGUGGUGGUGAUGUGGUGGAGGAGAAGGCAGUGAAUUCAAGAAGGAAGCAAUGGUGGUUAUGUGGAUUUGUGGAAUUCUCGCAUUUUUUGUAAAGGUUGAACCCCAACCUUGAGAGCCCCCACCGUCCCGUCUCUAGAGCUUUGUGAGGGAGGUAAAUCGCGGGAUGCCCCAACAGAUCACAGAACAAGAGUUGCAUGUACACUGCGCCUACAAGGAGUCCAAUUCCAUGUUUCAGGAGUCGAACCUCCACAUUGCGGUGAUUGUAUGUAACUUUGUGACUAUUAUAUCUUAACUGUGACCAUCUUUGUUCAUUAUGAUCAGUUGUGAUCAAGUCUGUUUUCAUUGUAGUUGUCUGUAAC